ACCGGCGAACGGGUGCGUAACACGUGGAUAAUCUACCUUCCUGACCGGAACAACUGGCCGAAAGGCUUGCUAAUACCGGAUAAGACCACGGGGGCUUCGGUUCCUGAGGGAAAAGGUGGCCUCUGUACACAAGCUAUCACAGGGAGAUGAGUCCGCGGCCCAUCAGCUAGUUGGCGGGGUAAAAGCCCACCAAGGCAACGACGGGUAGCUGGUCUGAGAGGAUGAUCAGCCACACUGGAACUGAGACACGGUCCAGACUCCUACGGGAGGCAGCAGUGGGGAAUCUUGCGCAAUGGGCGAAAGCCUGACGCAGCAACGCCGCGUGUGUGAUGAAGGUCUUCGGAUCGUAAAGCACUGUCGCGAGGGAAGAUACGCUCUUUGAUAAUACCAAGGGGCUAAGACGGUACCUCGAGAGGAAGCACCGGCUAACUCUGUGCCAGCAGCCGCGGUAAUACAGAGGGUGCGAGCGUUGUUCGGAAUUAUUGGGCGUAAAGCGCUUGUAGGCGGCUUGUUAAGUCGCGUGUGAAAUCCCCUGGCUCAACCAGGGAAGUGCGCGCGA
rnacentral:rRNA from 1 species